rnacentral:lncRNA from 1 species
UUUGGGUUUUAGAUUGUCCUCGCUUCUUUGCCACAGAUCCUCCUUCUCCUUUUGUUUUCUACUUUCGUGAGUUUCUUUUCGAGUGAGAAGAAUGGCCUCCAGAGAUCCUAACUUCGUGCCUCUAGGGUUUCAUCUGAGCUGACUGAGAGGGAUAUAGUGCUACUCUUGAGUAGUUUCAAAUCCUCUAGUAUUUCAGUUGGAUGUUUUUGGGCCAGA